GUGUUCAAGCCGGCAGGUGUUGCAUGUGCGGGGUUGUGGGGGCCUAGUGGUUCUGCUGCCGCAGGAUUGGCCAGUGAGAAAUGUUGCGUGGAGGUGAAGCGUCUGGGAAGGCGUACCGGAGUGGGUGAGAGUCCUGUAACUGUAAGCGUGGCGCUGGUGUGGGGUUGCCCCGAGUAGCGUGGGACUCGUGGAAUUUCGCGUGAAUCUGGCGGGACCACCCGUCAAGCCUAAAUACUCCUUGGUGACCGAUAGUGGAUGAGUACCGUGAGGGAAGGGUGAAAAGUACCCCGGGAGGGGAGUGAAAGAGUUCCUGAAACCGGUCGCAUGCAAGCCGACAGAGCCUGUGUGGUGAUGGCGUGCCUUUUGAAGAAUGAGCCUGCGAGUUAGUGAUGCGUGGCGAGGUUAACCCGUGGUGGGGGAGUCGUAGCGAAAGCGAGUCCGAUAAGGGCGUGAGUCGCGUGUUCUAGACCCGAAGCGGUGUGAUCUAUCCAUGGCCAGGAUGAAGCGUCGGUAAGACGUCGUGGAGGUCCGAACCCACUUCAGUUGAAAAUGGAGGGGAUGAGUUG
rnacentral:rRNA from 1 species